UCUGGAUAAACUUGUAUUUACCCAAGAGAGUGGAACAAGUCACUUUACGGAAUUAAAUUAAGUAACACAUUUCAGGAUUGAUAAAUACUUACAUAUAAGUGAAAUUUUAAAAUGCUGGGAUAACCGUAUGUCCUUUAACAUAUUUUAUGUUAUAAAAAUAAUCUUGAAUAACUUUGAUUAAGUUUUCAAGUUACGGUCAA
rnacentral:sRNA from 12 species